GCCUAAAUGCGUAGACUCUAGAGUCAGAAUACCUGGAUCCAAAUCCUCCCUGAACUCUUCUUACAAUGUGAUCUUGGACCAGAAUAACAUAACCAUUCUGUGAUUUUGGUUCUUCAUUUGGUAAAUGGACAUAAUAAUGGUAUUUUCUUUCCUCAGUUUUUAUGAACAUUACAUGUGGUGGUAUUUGUAAAGCACAAAGUAAGAGUUCAAUAAAUAUACUAAAUUUUAUCCCUUCUUUUCAAUGCAGGAAACUUUCUUUAAGAGCUUCAAAAAGGGGAGCGCCUGGGUGGCUCAGUCAGUUAAGUGUCCGCCUUUGGCUCAGAUCCAAGAGCAAUAGAAUUCCUCUUUGACAAGUAUGUAUGCCAUCAAAGCAUUACUUCAUUGUCAGUCAC
rnacentral:lncRNA from 1 species